rnacentral:rRNA from 1 species
UACGUAGGCAGCAAGCGUUGUUCGGAAUUACUGGGCGUAAAGCGUGCGCAGGCGGUGAUGUAAGACAGAUGUGAAAUCCCCGGGCUCAACCUGGGAACUGCAUUUGUGACUGCAUCGCUGGAGUACGGCAGAGGGGGAUGGAAUUCCGCGUGUAGCAGUGAAAUGCGUAGAUAUGCGGAGGAACACCGAUGGCGAAGGCAAUCCCCUGGGCCUGUACUGACGCUCAUGCACGAAAGCGUGGGGAGCAAACAGG